rnacentral:pre_miRNA from 1 species
UGUUGCAUUACUUGAUCUUGUGUCUGUAAGAGUAUUGCACUUGUCCCGGCCUGUGGAGGAAAAGAGGACUUAUCGUCAGUUCCUGUCAGGAUCGAAAAGGGGCCGAGCUGGCUGGUUUGCUGUUGUCGGGUGGAUCACGAUGCAAUUUUG